rnacentral:rRNA from 1 species
GACGGAGGAUGCAAGUGUUAUCCGGAAUCACUGGGCGUAAAGCGUCUGUAGGUUGUUUAAAAAGUCUGCAGUUAAAGGUUGAAGCCUAACUUCAAAAAUGCCGUAGAAACUUUUAAACUAGAGGAUGGUAGGGGUAGAGGGAAUUUCCAGUGGAGCGGUGAAAUGUGUAGAUAUUGGAAAGAACACCAACGGCGAAAGCACUCUGCUGGGCCGACACUGACACUGAGAGACGAAAGCUAGGGGAGCGAAUGGG